AUUCCAUGAUGAGGGCAUUUUCUUUGUAACACUCUGAACCACUCCCAUGUUUCAUAUAAAAUCUCUUAAUCUAGUUGUUGGAAAGAAAUUAUCUGUUUUCAAAGCAU